rnacentral:rRNA from 1 species
CCUACGGGAGGCAGCAGUAAGGAAUAUUGGUCAAUGGGCGGAAGCCUGAACCAGCCAUGCCGCGUGCAGGAAGACGGCCCUAUGGGUUGUAAACUGCUUUUGUACCGGAAUAAACCCCCGAACGUGUUCGGGGCUGAAUGUACGGUAAGAAUAAGGAUCGGCUAACUCCGUGCCAGCAGCCGCGGUAAUACGGAGGAUCCGAGCGUUAUCCGGAUUUAUUGGGUUUAAAGGGUGCGUAGGCGGCCUGUUAAGUCAGGGGUGAAAGACGGUAGCUCAACUAUCGCAGUGCCUUUGAUACUGACGGGCUUGAAUGUACUUGAGGUAGGCGGAAUGUGACAAGUAGCGGUGAAAUGCAUAGAUAUGUCACAGAACACCAAUUGCGAAGGCAGCUUACUAAGGUAUGAUUGACGCUGAGGCACGAAAGCGUGGGGAUCAAACAGGAUUAGAUACCCUGGUAGUCCACGCCCUAAACGAUGAAUACUCGAUGUUGGUCGAUAUACGCCGACGCGUCUAAGACGAAGACGUAAGUAGUUCCUACCGUGGGUAGGUACGCCGCCGAGGUAAGGUAAACGUUAAAGUUAGUUAAGUUAGUUACGGUUCGUGAGACGUUGCCGACGGACGACGACGAGGGAGGAGG